rnacentral:lncRNA from 1 species
GGUUAGUGGUUGAUGAGUUGUGUAACUGUUUAUAAAAGGUAUUUUUGUUAUCUGUUUUAUGGAGAGCUAAGACUCUGUAGCUCUUAUAUAAAAAUACGGGCGUGUUAUGUUUGUGAGAGAGAAGUAGUUGGGUGAGGAUGGAUUAAUUACCUAUUUCUUUUGUUCUCUAACGUGUAUUCAAAUUAUGAGGGUGUUUUACACCCAUUUUUAUGGAAGAUCACAAGAAAUUCUUCCCGGAAGAAUUUAUACCAGUAAAGUGGCAGGAUAAGAAGCAGUGUGUCAAGAGGUAAAUUGUUUUGAGCAAGUAAAAGUUAGUCAUGUUUAUGUUCCAAUAGCACGAGUUUCUCAUCAAUAAUCCUUCGUUUGAGCUUGUUUAAGUACGCGUUGUUAUCAGAUUUCUAUGCCUGUAGCUUGUGUUUAUAAAUCACUUGUAAACAUUCAAGUCACCUGUUUAAUAAAGCAUGGCGUCGAAGUAGUCAAGUGCUACCUAAUCCACAUAUAGAGCAUGUCGACAAUAUACUUGUUCACGAAAUAUUUCUUUCGAUUUAACCCACCGCAAGUGUACGGUUCGUUAACAAGUAAUAAAGUGGAUUUUUAGAGUCCGAAUAUCGUCCCACAGAGAUUGAGUAGUUCAAUUUUACCUAGUGUAGCCUUAAUCGAAACGAAAUUUCUCAAUGUGGAUAUUUACCUAAAUAAACCCUAAUUUUAGAAAGAAAACCCUAUUUUGGAAUGCAAACCCUAAUUUAUGAAAACCCUAAUUAUGCAAAAUUGAAGAUUGGAAGGACCUCAGUACGCAAAACGAUAUUUGAUGAAUUGAAAUGCAAAUUAUAUGUUAAAGCGCAAAUUGGUUGUAUUCAAUGAAAAUUAAAAACACUAGGAUCACGAAUUCCCAUGCAAUGAUCACCUUAAACCCUAAUUUCACAAAUGACACGCCAUUGAAUUUUUUUAAUGAAUCAAAACCCCUAAUUCUAUCCAAUACUCUCUCUCGAGAUGUAUUGAACCUAUUUUUACAUACCACCGGUCUAUAUCUCUAUGACAAGUGCAUAUAUAAAAUGCAUUCGAUUUUAUGAGCACUUAAAGAUUCACAUAAGACAUAGAGAUAUAUCUCUAUCUCCUAUCGGACCCUACGAUGAAUUUAUUUCCCUUCUUUCGAACAGAUGAAAUAAACCACCACAUAUCACGUAAUUAUGUGCACUUGAUUAUGGAAGAAAAUCAAUGCAUAUAAUUCAUUCAAAUAUUCAAAUACGUGCUUAAAGUCAAAUUGCAAAACUAGAAAAUUAAAGAUUACAUCACAAGGUUCAUCGAUCUCCUAGUAUAUAAAAAUAUAGCCUAACAUGGAGAAAGAAUCAAAAUACAUAGUAGAUUGAAGAAAGCGCAUCACCGGCUUAUGAAUUCUUGAUAAAUCUUCGUGAAAUUCUUCGUUACUUGUACUCAAAAUCUUCUCCAAUAUGUGGUUUAUUGCCUCCCAAUGCAUUCUGCCCCGAAAUAUGACGGCUCUAAAUUUUUAUAUCGCUUCCCAAUCGAGUUUCAAAAGAAUUAUAAUGAAAAAGGGAAACUGCAGAUUCGCGACAUAGAUUUUUACCAUGCGGCCGCAUAGUAUUAAUCCAUGCGGUCGCAUGGUAGAGUCAAUUGCCUAGAUUUAAAUCUCGGAUGGUGGUUGUGUGGCAGAAUGAUUAUAUUCCAUGCGGUCGCAUGGUGGAAAUUUUCUUUUUGCGUCAUUUUAGUCCCCAAAUUCAAUCUUCUUAUUUCUUGACCUCUUUUCUUCGACUCUUUUGUUCCAUCAUCUCAUAUUGAUCUCCAAUUAGUACUUGGCAUUAGAAAUCUUUUGAUUGCUCAUUUGGCUUAUCUUUUGGAUAUUUGCACUUUGGACCCUGAAUUAUCACGUUGAUUUGUUUUGGUCCUUUUUGCUUCUUUUUCUCGUGAAUUCCAUCAAAUCCAUCAAAAAACCCUACAAUUCAAGAAUUGAACGAAUUUAAGCCACAAUUCAAAUAUUUUGCUCGUAAUUUAGUCAUGUUUGUGCAUUAAAUAAGUGCACAAAAACGCACUUAUCAGUACUAAUGAAACUUCUUUCCUGUAUGUGACUACUUGAGCUUCAAGUGUGAAUACUUCCUCUUCAAGUCCCUGUGGGAUUAGUCGAGGAGCGCGUAAGCUGGUUCGGACUUCCUCAUGUGUUGGUUGAUUUCAAUUUUUCAUUGGUGCUUUAAUGUCGAAAUUUUGAUGCUCAAGUGACAAAGAAUAAAACUCAAGACAGUUGCUUGCUUUCAUGUAAUGUAUAAUUCAUAUACUUAUAUUUUAUCUUCAACUAUUAUUAGCAAGUUGAACAUUUUGAGUUAGUUGGAGAAGCCAUGUAAUUACAUAUAAAUAAUGAUACGAAAUCAAGCCUAACUGUAUUAAUCGAACCUUGUAAUAGCAUUUGCACUCGAAAUUCUAAUUAUUUUCUAUAAGUUAAUGUAAAAUAAUAAAUAAGGUAAUUGGCACAAAAUGUCCCUACUUUUCAUUUUAUGGCAUUUUUGUCCCUAUUUCCACCUUUCUUGGUGCCGAACGUCCUUUUCACCAAUUUUAGACAAUUUUACCCCCCAUUCAAAUAAAAUAAAAAGAAAAGAAAUAAAACAACAAACAACUAAUUGCAACCACAGCCCCCCAAUUUUCAAAAAAUUACAAAUCAGUCACAAAUAUAUACAAAAAUUUCAACAUAGGUGCCAACAACCAUGGAACCCAAUUUUCGGCACCAAGGCAACCUACACUGAGCAGUGUUGGGGACAUAGCUUGGCCUCUGCGUUUCCCUUUCAAUCUUGACAAUUUCCUCCAUACUCAAAAAAGUAAGAAUUUUAAGAAACCUCACGACGUCUGAUUCAGGGACAGAGAACAAAUACUGGUAGAAACUGGUAAGGAGACAAGACCAUCAUCUGAUUUGCCAAAUUUGGUCCCAUCACUCUUGAGGAGAAGAGGGUAUGUGAGUCCGUAGGCUCUUUCUGCCUGUCAAAUUCGACGCAUAAGGUCCACUCUUGCAGUAAUAUUGCCCCAUUGAUCAACACCUCCAAUUUGAACAUUAACAUCUUCGUCUCGAAAAAGAUGAAGGAAAUCAUACCCCUGCAAUAACUGGUAAGUGAACUCGGUGUAACUCAUUCCCUACUCUGUUUCGAGCCUCUUCCGUACGCUCUCUUUCGACAUCAUCACACCCAUCCUCGCAAAUCUACCUACCUCCUUGAGAAAAUCUAGAAGCUUAACAUCCUUCCACCAGUCGUAAUUAUUCGAACUAGUAAAAUACUUAGCUCCGUGAUUCCGACCCAGAUCCGGCUAAUAGUAGUCGAAAUCCCAGAAAAGUUCCGCUCCAAAGCGAGAAGGUCGAGCUCAGGCCACUCGAUGCUUUUGUUGAAGGGAUCACCAACCCGAUCUGUUGCACCACCGACAAGAGCAACAACCUUAUGCCCACAUCGGAGGAAACAAGAAAGCACUAUUAUACCAAAGAGGCUGUCCAAAUGGAGACUCUCAGCAGUUGGGUCGAACCCACAAUAGACCCUAAGGGUGGGGAGGCUGGGAUCAGAACAGGCGGUAAUUUUUAAAAAAUUUGGGGUUGUGGUUGCAAUUAGUUAUUUAUUGUUUCCUUUCUUUUCUUUUUGUUUUAUUUGAAUGGAAGGUGAAAUUGUCCAAAAUUGGUGAAAAUGACAUUCAGUGCCAAGAAAGGUGGAAAUAUGGACAAAAGUGUCAAAAAAAUGAAAGGUAUAGACGUUUUACACAAUAGACAUGAAAGGUAAGGACGUUUUGUGCCAAUUAUCCAAUAAAUUAAAUCCCCAGGAAAAAAAAGUAAGAAAACAGUAUAUCGGCAACAAAAUUUAUAAAAUUUUCCAAAACGAUCAACAAAUUUCCAGCUUUACACAAUUGAAAAACCUUAAUUCUUCCAAAAUUGCCCAAUCGCCGCUCCUUCAACUUGACCUUGAAUUAUGAUAAAUGAAAGCAAUUUUAACAGAUGAGACUCAUGGUUCAAAUUUUGAGUCAACAAAAAAUUAAAUAAAUAAAUAAAUUACGUUACCAAUUUCAUUUUCUUUCAUUUUUUUCUCUCUUUCUAAAUUGUGUCUUCAAGAUACUGACUUGAAUAUCUUGUGUUUUCAUUCACCCUCCUGACAUUUAACAUAAGGUUUGAGUAAGGCUAUUAAUGGUGAUUUAAUAUUUCAUACGAGACAAUAAAAAACUCUCACACUAAUGUAUCAAAUAACAAACUGUUAUAUAUAUGCUAUGUAGGGCGACUAACAAUAGUUCUCACUAUUAUUCCAAUAUUAUUAUUAUUAUUAUUAUUAUUAUUAUUAUUAUUAUUAUUAUUAUUAUUAUUAUUAUAAGUACAUUACCCUUUACUUAGUAACGAUCUUUUCUAAUUUUUUUUUUUUUUUAACAUGUAUGGUGUAAAUUAGAUAUGUUGUAAAUGUUUUCCUCGAGCUUCAAUCAGAUAAAUAUAUUUCAAUCUUAUUUUUUCGAAUAACUAUAUUUUAAUCUAAUUUUCAAAUAUCGUCACUUGAAUUGACUGAAAUCAGUGAAGUGAUUUUUUUAUUUUAACCAAGGUAGCAUUAAUUCCACAUUAGGAACUAACGACCACAUGAGCUAACAAUCAUUUACUGAAUUGGACAUAAUUAGCUCAAUUCAAAUUAAAUUAAAGUGUAAUUAUUCGGUUGAACAAAAUUAAAAUACAGUUAACACUAGAGUGAAAGUACUGUUAAUGCGAAUGGAAAUUAACCUAUAUAUGGAUUAAAUAUUAUUAGAUCAUCAUUAUUAUUAGCCAAAUGUACUGUAUAUUCAAAAGCUAAUGAUGUAUUUAGGACCCGUUUGACAUUACUUUUUAAAAAGAGGAAAUUGCACCCACUACGUAGAAUUUGAAAAAUAUUCACACAAUACUUUUAACUCCUUAAUUACUAUAAAAUCUAACUAAAGCUGAAAUGCAAAAAACAACCCAACAUCCAUGGAAACUAAAUUUACUCGGCAAACAUGCCCUUCCUAUACUUUUGACAAACACCAAAAUCCUCAAUUCUUACCCUCUCCAACUUUGUGAAUGCCAAAUCUUCCUCCAACCAAGAAAUCUAGAGAACAACCCAAAGAUUAAUCCUUUACAAAUUUACAACAAACACCGUAACCCAUAGUAUCAUUCAAGAAUUUGAUCUUUUAGAUCCCCAUUUUGCAGUGAUUAGGGCUCCAUAGUUCAUAUAUAAACCCUAACCAGAAGUUCCUACAUCAAACCACAAUGAAAUAUUACAUGUUGUGUAGAGAUGUUUUCACUGUAUAAAUGUUCGUUGUGUAUGUUUCAUCUAUUUGUGUUUCAAUUAUGUGUUCCAUCCAUAUGUUCCACCAAAUAUCACGUGCUACGUGUAAACAUCGGAGGGGGGGGUGGAUAAUUAUUAUAGUCAUGAAAUAGACUCAUCUUUCGUUUUUAACUUUGUUAUUCGAAUAUGCGUGACCCCAGUUCGAUGUUGUAUUUCAUAAUUUCUAACUAUGAAUCAACAUCAAUUAGAUCAUGUUAAAAAUAAUUCAAGAUAAUUUGCCACCUCGUCUAUCCAAUUUCCAAGGUAAUUAAUUUUAACGGACUUUACAAGGGGACAUAAAUGCUGGAAGAAAACACUUCUAAGCAUUCAGAUUGAAACAGAUUCAAAGAAUUUGAAAUCAGUGUUUUCACAAACUACUAUCAAGAGCACGGGAUGCGUGAUGUAUGUCAAAUAAGAUUCCCUAAACUGCUCAGCUAUUGACAUCAAAAUCUGCAAAGAAAGAUUACAGAGAAAAAGAAAGGAAUUCAGUCUGAGGAAAUCUCUCAAACCAUCUUCACCAUUCUUCUCAAGACCCUUUUCAUUGAAUUAUUUGAAUUAGCUGAAUUUUCGGGGAUUCAACUAAUGAAGUGUAAUAUUGGGGGUUGUCUUUAAAUGUUGUUAAUAGGAGUGAUAGUAUUUAGAGAAUAGGCUUUUUUUUUUUUUUUUUCUAAGUGAGGUAAAUAUGGUUUUUUUCCCUUUAAAAAAUUAAAAGAAGCUUUUGAGAUUCAAAAAUUAUUUUUUGGAUUCAUUUGACUAAUAUUAUUAAAGUGCUUCAUAUAGUUGGAAGAAUUUUUAGUAGAAGUUUGAUCAAAUGUGACUUCCUAUAAAAGUAUUUUAGAAAUAAUUUUUUUAAAAAAUUAGUUUUUAAACAAAACUUAGAUAACUUCCUCCAAAUACUCUUCUACAGAAAGCUAGAACAAAAGUUAUGUCAAAUGUACCUCUAAUUUCAAUGGUAAAGUGAAAAUGUGGAUACGAAAAAGGACAAGAUGGGUUAGAUGGAAAGAAAAGGAGGUGUGGGCUAAUUUUAAAGUAUGUUAAGUUGGGAAUGUCGAUUUUUUUUUUCCCUUUUUAUUGUGGACAUGAGCACAAGCAUGAAUAACGGGAGCGAGUAUCAAAGUCAUCAUAUGUGACAUAUAUUUAGCCAUUGUUUGAAUCACAUUAUUUUUAUAAAAAUGUAUUUUUGAAUGGUGUAUUGAUGGAAAAUGUGGAAUUAAAAAAUAAUGAAAAGUUUUAGAUUUGUGGUGUAAUAUUAUUUCAUUAAAGAAUGUGUAGUUAAAAUGAUGUCAAAUCAUUGUUUAAGAAUGCAUUUUUUCCAUGAAUGUGACUCAAAGGGGGUCUUAAUCCCUUAAUCAUGGUGAGUACUAUUGAUUUAAAAAUUAAAAUAAGUGAUUAAAUAUAUGUCAUAUAGAAUGACUACGAUAGUCACUCACUUUGUAUACCAUUACUCUUUCAAAAAUUGUGAGACGAAUCAAAUCAAAUUGCAAGAAAUAAUUUGGUUUGGAAAUUGAAUUUGGUUUAAAAAAAUCCUCCCCAAAUCAUUUUACCGAAGAAUUUAGUUUGAAAAUUGACCACAAAUCAUCUAACCCGAAUUGUGUCACCGUGAUUUCGUGGAACCUUUCAUGGUAUAUCAGCCACCCUCCUUCAACCAUGCACCAACCAUCAUUACCCUUGCACACAGUGGUUCGCCGACCUCUCCAUUGUGACUCUGUCUUCUAUGGUGACCUUACCCACUCCCCAUUCCCAAUUUAUCCCUUGUAUUGAUUUCACGUAAUUAAGAGACUUGAUUUUGAGCGAGCUAACAGUGCAAAAUAAGAAAAAGAGAAGAUGAAAAACGUAAGGAGAGAAGAAAACAUCAACAACAAUAACAAUAAAAACAUAGCACAUAGUAAUCGAGUUGCUAUAACUUUUUAUAGCUUAAUCAUUUAUGAUUAAGCUACUCUCAUCAUUUAUGGUCCAAGGCUCACUCAAUUAGAGCACUUACUACCUCAAAGGAAUUCGCUACAAGACGCUUUUAAUCGCUCUGCUAGGACGAUCUAGUAGAGAGGUUGUCUAGUCAUCUCCGUAUCUAAAAGAAUUUUACUCAUCAUACGAGCCUAGAGUUUUAUAUUGGUAAAAGUUUUGAAAAUAAAUUUCUCCAAUAUAACAUACUUACAAACCAAGAAUUUUUAUUUUUUUUUAAUAAUUUAAAAACUGGACAAGAUCAAAGGAUACAGCAUACCAUACUUUUGCAUGAAAUUCACAUCAUUUAUCCAUCCAUUAAAAAACACAUGAAUCUUAAGGAAAAAAGAAUUCACGCAAUUACUAUAAUGAAAACCCUAAUUGUUCGGUGCAUAAGGGAUCCAAUGCUAGAACAGUACACAAUGAAUAUGAUGCAUCAUAAGUAGAAAAAUGAAAUCAGAUAAAACUAAUUACUUUUAUGUAAGAAAGGGAAAAUAAUGUGCCAUGUCUUCACUUACUUGGUAAAAAAGUAACUUUUAGACCUAAUAAAAUAUACUCUUAUUCAAAAGACUAUAAAAAACUGAGGAGCUACUGGAUCUUCAGACGGGUGAACUGCCCAAGUACAAGGCUCAAUCUCUCUAGUUAUAGACACUGGACAGUACCCAACCAGAGUUGCCUUAGCUUCGGAAGAAGCGGCCGAACCGAAGGACAUGGCAUCCACAUAUGCGCUCGGUUUAGCUUCUGCCUCACCUUUGGAACCAUCUACUGGUUUUUCAUUCUUUUUUUGGCCUUUGGAAUCAUCUUCUUUUCCAUUCUUUUCCUUUCUUUUGUUGAACCAAGAUAGAAGCCCCAUGAUUAUGAUUAACCAAUGAAAUAUGGGUGGAAUUUUAGGUUUUCUGAAUUUAUAGAAGAUUAAAAGAGAUGACGGAAUUAGGGUUUUGCUUAUGUAGCAUACAAUCAAAUCUCAAAGGGAAAGUUGAUUUAUUUGGUAAAUUACCUUAGAAACACUCCUAGUAUAAUACAGUCUCAUUCAGUUAAGAUCUUUUAGAAUAACUUAUUUAUGUUUUGGGCUUACACGUACCUUAAUCCUUACCAAACCAUGAUGUGAAAAAGUAUAAAACCUAAUUUCAUAACCCUGAAAAAACUACAGGAGAAUCCUCGACUAUGAUUUUAAAAGAUAUUAUAAACUCUAAUGAAAUUUCAAAAGAUUUGUUUGUAUGUGUUUUAUCCAAAUCUUUUAAAAUUCCUCUAUUACUAAAAUCUUUAUAAAUUCACUAGUUAUGGAUAACUAAAUUUUAAAGGAUUUCAUUGGAUUUCGUUAAGAUGGGACACCUAAAUUUUAAUGAAUUCAUUAAAAUCUUAAUCAAAGACAUCUAAAUUUAAAGAUUUUUAAAAUCCAUCGGAGGACACACCUUUCAAUAUGAAUAGGUGGAAACCUAAACAGUCGCCAGUGAAUCCACCUCACAGCCGCCGCCGCAGCCACCAUACCAGGCGGCCGGGCUUUGAGAAGCCUUCCACACUCUGCAAUCCCAAGUCUCCAGCUUCCUCUAGAAACCCCCAAACCUCUUCUUCAACGCUUGCAGCACAAAAGCUCACUGAGCAAAUGUUAGUCCAGAUCGGACUUGAGAUGCUUUUAUGAAAUUAUUCUACCCCAAUCAUCUUGUUUAAAAUACAAGAAUGAAAUUAAGGGAGUUGAAGCGUAAAGACACGAUCAAGAAUUAUGUUACAGAGGUCAAAACCCUUAUACUUCAAAUCCCUACUGUGUCGGAUGACGAUCUAACUGAAUUAGCAUAUGAACUUCAAUAUUGGGCAGAGGAAGAAUUCAAGUAUUCUAACAAAGAAUCUUGCUAUGUCUGACGAGGAAAUUGGAGAAAGAUUAUGUAAAGUUAUUGUUUAUAAUAUCAAAUUUUCUGAUGAUGAAAAGUAGCCCGGAUGGCUUCGUGUACAAAUCAAAUGAAAACAAUUCUACGUUAUUUCUUUAGGCAGAUGCUAAGAAUUAUGCGGAGCAUGGCCUAAUAUAUGCUUCUUAUUUUUGCAGAAAUUACUUUUUUUUUUUUUUUUUGACACAUCAAUAUACACAUCUUGUUUAAUUUUACACGAAUCCUGUAGGUUAUGAAUUUUAACAUGGCAAUCGAGCAUGUUAGCUUGAUACCGGAGGUGAAAAAUGCAUUAGAGGUAAGAGUUUGAGCAAGCACUGAUUACUUAUCAUUCUAAAAAAUUAAAAUUUUAACUAAAUAUUCUUGUGUAAUAAUUUUCUGUAGAUUAAAAAGGACGCUGAUCUUUCUUGUGAAAAGUUUCAGGAGUUCCUCAAUUUCAUAAUAAAACAAAAAUACAUAGUGAGAUGACUGUCAAGAAAUUCUCCAGCUGAAUAAAAUUGCAAGACAGGGAAAAGAAGAAGAAUUAAGGGGACUUAUAAACAAAAUAUACAAAACAAAAAUUCGUAAUUAAGGACAAAGAUUAAUGAAUUUUACAUCCAAAAAUCAUGCUAAGAGCUAAUAAUCUAACACCACCGAAAAUACAAUAUGCAGUGAGAGUGGCAUCAAUUCUUGUAGAGGAACCUACACAAUUGCCUAAGAUGUGAUGCUCUAACAAAGCUAGAACUCUAUGACGGAGAAGGAUCCGGGAGCUUUCCCGUUUCUUCAACGAUUAUGAGAGCUUUCCUCCUCUGAUGGCAACUGCUAAAAUGCACACCACCCAUUUCAAUCUCCCCCACCCCUUAAAGAAAAAGGAUGCCAACGUGCCUAAGAAAAAAAUGCAAGGGUUUUGCUAGUACUCACACACACACUACACAGCAAAGGGUUACAAAAUCUGCUUAUCCUAUGCCACUCAAGGCACAAAGAAAACUUGAGGUUGCUACUCACCAAGGUCGAGUUUGAGUUAAAUUUUCCGCUUCAGUUUCCACAUCAUGUGGAACUGUUUCCAGCUUUUGCAAAGUAUUCACAGAACUGAAAAUCAAACGAUUAAGAGUAGCAAAAUGGAAUCAUGGACCAACAAUACACGAGAAGAGACAAAUUAUGUUCUGGGAAUUUGAAUUUCUCAGCUAUAAUCAAGACUUAUGGGAAAUUUUGUCAAGGGUUUUCUGUGGCUUCUGGGGAUUCUAUAUACUUCGAAAGAGAGGAGAGGAAAAAGUAUGUCGGGUUUGAGAGAAACAACAGUAGAAAGAUGGGUUCCCAUUUUUAUACUUCGCAAAGAUAUUUGAUGAACAGUCGUUGCCAUAUGAGGCCCCUCCUCUCCGUGCUACACGGAGACUUGGAAACAUAGUCUCUGCGCAACGUGGAGCGGAAAGGCACUAUACCUCUUAGUGCUGCUUGAAUUUUUUUCUUUUUUCUCCUUUCUUUAAGCUAAGAAUUUCAAUUUCCUGAUUUUUGGAGAAAUUUUGAGGUUGUCCAUUUUUUAUGAAAUUUUAGUCAAAUUUGAUUAGAAAUGUGCUAAUGAACAAAAAUCAGCAACUUUGCUGCUGUCAUAAGACCAAUUUUGGGCAAGUUUCUUCGUUUAUGCGUUGUUUCCACUUUUUGGUAAGUUUCGUUUUGGUUAUAUCUCAAUGAAUUUAAAUCAAACUUGAAUUUUGUUUGUAUGAGAAUAAUCAUUAAGAUUAUAACUCUUGAUUUUAAUCAUUAUCUUGAUUUUUUUCCAUAAGAUUUUUUUCCAUUUUUGGAAAAUAAUUUCAUCUCAAACAUUAAGGUAAUGAGUGAAUAUUUCAGAGAUUCAAAACAGACUGGGUAUAUAGUAGGUCAUAUGUCAUGUUUAGCACCUAUAUUCUAGUUCACCUCCCAUACAAAUGAAGACAAGUCGUGAACAUACAUGUACUUUUGUUUCAUCAAGAAACAUGUUUAAGCAAAAAACCUAAUUCACAAAAUAAACAACAAAAGUCUCAGACCCACCUCAGAAAAUCUCCAAAUAACCAAAUUUCUGAACACCCACAUUCAUCACCAAAAAUCAUGGGAUUCUUCAAACGUAAUGUGAUUACAAGAAUCCAAAGCACCCACCCAGUAUUUCAAUAAAAAAGAACCAAAAUAUCGCUUAUAAUUUCAACGAAUUUCUACAAUCAAGUAAUAGAAAGUCGCAAAAAAAUAGACCCAAAAUAAAAAUACAAAAGGGGGUUCAAAAAAAUCCAUUAAACUUCAUAAAUUGAAACACUUGUAAUCACUAAAAUCCAAAUAAGAAAAAAAGGUACCGGAGUCGCCAAAGAAAAGGAACGAAGAAGGAAGGCAAAAAAGAAAUGAAAAGUUAUUGCAUCGACUGUGUGGAUGAAGUGAAGUGAUGUGUGAAAAUGGAGAAAUAUGAUAGUUGAGGUGAUGGUUGCAGUGAAGUGAGAUGUGAAAAUGGAGAAAUGAUUGAAGACAACACGACGUCGUUUACGCUCCUAGAACGGAAAAAAAUUUGCUACAAUGUGAUAGAAUGGAAGAAUUCGUUGUUUCUAACUACAGUACAUUCUCAUUCCCUUUUUUAUAUAGUAGUGAUACAAAUUUUUUUUUUUUUUUUAAUCUGUAUUCUAUUUUUAAAAAGGUAUUCAUUUAAUAAAAAAGGGCAUACUGGCCAGGCCUGGCCUAACACAACUUUUGAAAAUAUAUUCAUUAUUUAAAGAGAAAAAAAAAAUAUUGUGCUCAAUAGAAUAAGCUAGAUCUCCUAAUAUAGUGUUUAAGACUUAAUCAGCGUAUAUGCAUAUUUUAUUUCAUCAACAUGCUUUUAUCCCCUUUUUUGAACUUGCAUUCUUUCCUAUUUUUCUUUCUGAGAUGUGCAUGUAGUGUCCUUGUUGGAAUCUGUAGACUAUAGUUUUGGCUCAUGUAACUAUGUCACUUUUUCUCCGUCUUGUCACGAACAAUGCAAUAUCCUAUACUGGGACGAGUAAUUGAAAUCAUACCCCUAACAUAUGAUCAAAUCUGAUUUAGUCAAAAUUACUCCUUCCAGCUCCUGAUCCUACUACCGGUGUUGGCUGACAUUGCUUACAAUUUACACAUGGUAUCAACAUGAAAUCAACUAAUCACUUCUAUCAAUUCAACCACCCCAAACUACUCACAAAUAUUGACUGAGUGAUUGAUAUAUCUCGUUCUACUAAUUUAAGAGUGUUUAUACCAACUCAAAGAUCUAUCGUAAUAGGGUUGGAAAUGGGGCUAGAUCAGGGACCCUGUACCCGCCCCAUUACCCGUUUAAGGCAAGGCAGAACGGGGUGGGGCGGUUGCCCCUUUUAUAUACCUGUUUAAUUUUUUUUUUUUAAUAUUUUUUGAUAAUUCAUUUUAUUGUCCUCAUUCAUUCAAGUGAAAAAAUAAUAUAGUUAUUAAAAUUUUUAGUUAAUUUAUUUAUUUUUAAAAGUCAAAUUAUUGGAAUAUAUUUGAUAAAUUAAUGUUUUUAUUAUUUAUCAUAUUUCUUAAAUAAUAUUAGUUGCCAUCUUCUAUUCGACUUAAUGAAAUUUCAUGGAGUUUUUCCAUUUUAAAGUAUUAAAUUCUUUAAAAAUAAACGGGCGACGAUGGGGCCCUUGUUACCCGUACCGGCCUCGGGACAAAAUUCCUCGGCCCAUACCCAAGGUGAUUACCCGAUUAAGCGGGUAAUCCCCACUCUAUUAGGAGCGGGGCCCACAAGUAUCAAGUUUGAUGAGUAUUUUUGUCAUGGGCAAAUUAGGCCCAAUGCCCUAAAAAAAUUACUAAUUUGAUUAAUACCCUAUUUAAUUAAUAAAAUCAUUCAACAACGUAAUUAUUACGUUAUAACCUCCCCCAAACCUCCAAACUCCUGAAGCCUGCGUGAAUGAGGAGAGUAGCAUUGCCACAGUCAUUCACAACUCAAAUCGAUUCCACCACUAGAUUCCCAAUCGAGAGCCCGCUCGCUACACCAACUGUACUCGUGAAGUGUCUCACCCUUCUAGGCAAAUGCUGCCGCACUAUCGUCUGCAAUGGCUGUUGCGAUGUGGUCCUCGGUGGAAUUUGGAAAGUAUGUUGCACGAGCACCUGAAGCACUUAGCACUUGAUUAUGUUUUUGUAAUGUUGUUUUUUGUAUACAAAUAUGGUUUUUGUAAUGUUGUUUGUUCAGACUGCUCUGGAGGACUUUUACUCGAAAAUGGGUCAUAUGGACAUUGCAUGCGGGCGUUCGAUGGAAUUGAAGGAAAGAACAUUGUUUUUGGAAUUAAAUCGAGGAGAUUUAGCAAUGGCUCAGAGUGUGUUCGACGAAAUGCCAGAGAAGGAGGUGAUAUCUUGGAAUGCAAUGGUUUCAUCAAUACACCAUCCCCUUUGGAGCACCUCGUCUCUCUCUACAUCUCUGUCUUUCUCUGUCCAGAAACACAUUCUAAAUUCUCAACUAUUCAAUUUGUUUAGCAAUAUAUAUACUCCUUUUAUCAAUUUGCUAAAAGGUAAAAGCUAAAUUUCUAUCCAGAUCAUAACUUUAGCAAUUGCUCAAAGUGUGUUUGAUGAAAUGCCAGAGAAGGAUGUGAUAUCUUGGAAUGUAAUGGUUUCUAGUUAUACAAUGGGUAGGAAUAUGGAGCAGGGAUAUGCAUUGUUUCGACAGAUGCCAGGGAGUAGUUUUGCUUCCUGGAAUGCUAUGAUCUGUGGGUAUCUAGAUUGCAGGAAGAUAGAAUUAGCAUGCAGCUUUUUUGAUGCGGUGCCCCAGAAGAACAAUGUUUCUCAUAUCACAGUGAUUUUCGAGUACUCAAAAUGUUGUCCGAGUUUGGUAAACUGUUCGGUCAAUAUGCAAACUGUAGGAUAUGUUAUGAUUUGAAGACCGCAAAAAAUAUUAUUCAAUUAACAGUGAUGAGCGUUUAUAAGAUUGUUUGACAUUUACAUCUUAGUUUAGUCAUCAAUUUUUAUUAGUUGUGACUUGUGAGCUUACUGUAAACUUGGUUGCAUUUAAAUUUUGGAUUAUGAUCAUAUUGUCCAAGUUGUUAGUUCAAAAAUUUUUAAUUUGUUCAUUAGCUGUGAACUUAUUAGAUAAUUUGUCUAUAUCGAAAAUUGUGGAUUGCGGUUUGUAAUUUUUUUUUUAAUUUGUGUCACUUUUUUUAAAUAUUUGACAUUUUUUUGAGUUUGUCACUUUUUUUGAAUUUUGUUACUUUUCGAGUGUUUGUCAUUUUUUAAUCCGUGUAACUUUUUUUUAAAAUUGUGUCACUUUUUGAAUUUUCGUCACCUUUUUAAUGUUUGUCAUCUUCUUGAUUUCUAUCUCUUUUUUAAAUUCGACACUUUUUUAGUGUUCGUCACUUUUUUAAAUUUGUCACUUUUUUUUUAUUGUUCGUUACUUUUUUUAAAGUCAACUUCUUGAAAUUUUUAUCACAUUUUCAGUGGCAAGCAUCAUUUUUUUUUAAAAUAAAAGUGAUAUUGUAUGUCAUUUUUAAUAUAAAAAAAAAGUGACACUAAACUUUUAAUAGUGACAUUGUGUCACUUUUUUGAGUUUUUUUGUCACCUUUUAAGUUUUUGUCACUUUUUUAAAUAUUUGUCACUUUUUGAAGAAAAUAAAAAAGUGACAUAAUAUGUUAUAUGUUCCUAACAUAAUUAGGACAUUAACAAUCCACAUGUUGAUUAUGUUAAGAACUGCCACUACGCUCACGUGAAUUGUCAUAGAUAUGCUGAUUAUGUUAAAAAUGUGAUUAGUGGUGCUGUCCAAAUGGAUGUUUCUAUUUUGGUGUUUCUCACUUUUUUAGCGUUCAUGUCACUUUUUUUGAGUUUAAAAAAAAAAGUGACAAUUUUUAUAAAAAAGUGACAUUGUGUCACUUUUUUCAUUUUACACAGUAUUUUUUACUUCCUAACAAUUUUUCAUAUGAUUUUUCAAAAUACCUCUAAUUUUAAGGGCAUUUUUGUAAGUUGCCCUUUUGUCAUUGCUACAUGUAUUAUGCAAUAUUUUCAAAACUAAAUAAUGAUAACUAAAAGUGACUAUGUGCUCAAUAAUAUGAUCUUACAUAGAUAAGCAUGAUACAAAAACAAACUCAAACAGAACCAUUAUAUCACGUAUCAUAAGUCAAAUAAAUUUCGAGCAUAAAUAAGGUGAUGUUAUCCAGCAAGUUACAAGCAUGUCUUGUGAAUUUUUUUCAGAAUUUCCAAUUUCUUUCAAAAAGUUUCAUUUUUUUUUUCCAAAAUUCUAUAAAAUGUAAAGCAAUAAUAAACAAGCACACAUUUGACUCACAAAGUCGACUCUACAUAAGGUUACAUUGUCCUUAAUGUAAGUACAAAACAUAAAGUAGGGUAAUAUAUGAAGGGGCUCGAGGAAGAUUAGUAUUAAAAUACUCGACUUGGAGCAUGUGAGGCUACAUGAACCUUCAUGCAACUACCAGGGAACAGUUAUCAAUAUUGAUUGCAUCAUGCAUCGAUAUUGCUGUUAGGAAUCUACUUAACAUGUGCAGCGAAAAAUUAAAAUAGAUUUCGAUUCCUACCAGGAAUCUUUUUGUGUUUAGAUAGAAAUUGUGAAAAAAUUGUAUCUUUUCCAAAUCUGCAAAUUUCUUUGUUAUUCUUUUCGUCUCAGCAAUAUUGAUUCGCCACCCACAGCUAUCCAAUUGUCCAGCCUCCAAGAGUGAUCCACACAGAGAACAGAUUGCAACUACUAGGUUUCUCUUCUUGUGUUAGCAAGAAAUUAUGAGAAAACUAUAUCGAUUGAAAACCCUAACCACGUAUUUAUAUAAACCCAAACGGGCCUGGCCUGGCCUGGCCUGGUCUGGUCUAAUAUUUAAUUAAUCCAUUUAAUUAAAUCCGGUUCCUGAAUUAAUUAAUCUAAUUAAUUAAUUCGGACCUAUAAAUAACCAACCCAAUUGAUUAAUUUAUUCGACGAUUGUUAAAUUAAUUAAUUGACAAAUAGCAAUCUUCUAAUUCUCUUUUGUGUGCGACCCAUCAAGUUCCCGAUCACCAUGCCUAACGAUGUGAAAUAUUAUUUUGAUUUAAUCAAAAUUGAUAAAUUAAAAUACUAUUUUAAUUUAUCACCAAUUCACACUCGGCGUUCCAGAUUGAUAUCUAACAAUGUGUCAGGGCAAUACAUGUGACGGGGAAUGUCAUGUGGUAUGACAAAACCAAACUUGAUCAAGGAUUUCGUUAUCGACUUAAUUGAAUGAAACGCAGAUAAUAAUCUCCUACUAUCUAAGAGUUACGAAUCCUCUAUGGGUCAUUCGCAACCUUCAUACGAUUCUUAACAUACUCGAACGAUCCUGUAUUAGCGGCCCUUGGCAAAGCAACAUCCAACACUUUCAAAGUAUGACUGUCCUCAUAUAAAAUACUACGACGACCUCAAGUCAAAGGACCAAUCACAUUACCGAACAUUAGAUAUUAACCAUUGACACUCAAAUAAUUAUCCAUGUGGAAUCUCUCGGUAGCUCUCCAAUGUUUUGUUCUAUAACAAAACAUCCACGUGCUCAUUCAAGUGUCGCCACACUUUAACUUGUGAGAUCAGCUACUUACUUCACAAGUAAGAAAUGUCACACGUGAUGAUCUAUCAUUAAUAGCGAUAUCCGUAUCUCGUUAUUACUUACGACCACGGACGAUUUAAGUUUCAAUCAUAGGUAAUUUGUAUCUCAUAAUCACAACUCCUUGCGAUUAAAAAAUUACAAAGAUUUGAAUCUACGGACUCUAUUAUUUAUUUAAUUGUCUAUUAAUUAAAAAAUAGAUCUGUCAUUAAAUUGCAUUAAUUAUAUAUGAAAAGUAUUUAUGUCCAGGGUUGAUUAGACCUAGGACAUAAUACAUACAAUUGCGACCUCAACAGACUUGGCCUUCAAAUAAUGUUUUUCCUUUUUUAUACCAUGAUUUGACCCCAUCUUUAUGAAAUGUAUGUCCGAACUCCAAAUAAUUUAACUCAUUAAUGAUCAGUGUCCUAAAAAUCACGUUUAGCGCAGACAAAACGUCUAGACGUGCUUUAUUCAUUUUUGUUAGUUUUUCCUUUUUUUUAAAGCCUUUUAUUUGAUAUAGUUUCAAGUUUUUUCUUUGAAAAUUAUAUAAUUGACUAAUUGUAGGAAUUAUUAAUUAAAUAUAAUAUUUUAUAAUUUUAGUUGUUUGGUAUAUAAUAUUUUAAUUAUUAAAUGACUUUUUAGAAUGAUUAAAAAUUUAAAAUAAUAUUAAGAAUAAGAAAAUGUUUUUUUGGCCUAGGUCUCUAGCCUAGACUCGUAAAAUUUAAACCUUGAUCUCCACGUCUAACCAUGAUUUAUGCUUUUUGAAACGGUUCUAAUUAUAAGCACUUAACACUAUGAUGCUUGAGAAAGUUUUGCUAAAGGAUUAAUUGUUGGGAACUUAAUUAACUUGCACAGCGAAAAUUAAACGAAAAUUUUCAAUUCCUACCAUGGAUCUUCUUUGUACUUAGAGAGAAAUUGUGAUAAAGAAUUAUGCCUUUGAUGAAUUCUUUGAAGAACAUUUCUGAUUUGCAAUCUACAACUAUUCAAUCGUCCAACCUCCAAUGAAAACCUACACAGAGAACAAGAUAGAGAGAAUUAGGGUUUUCUUUUCUUUUUUUUUCUUUUUUUGUACUAGCGAGAAUAUGAAUUAUGUAUUCUCUUCUGAUUUUUCAAACCCUGGCAACCUAUUAAAAUAAGUCCAAGUGGAUUUGGCCCGUCUCUUAAAUUUAACUCGAUUCAAUAUUUAAUUAAUCCAAUUAAUUAAUUUGGACAUAUUAAUAAGCAACACAAUUAAUUAAUUUUUCAACACUUGUUAAUUAAUUAAUUGGUCAAUUUCAUUCUUCUAGUUAUCCUUUUGUGUGUGACCCAUUAAGUUUUAGAUCACGAUGCCUAACGACAUGAAUUAUUAUUUUAAUCUAAUCAAAAUCGAAUAAAUUAAAAUAUCCCUUCUUAAUUUACCGAUGAUUCAUAUUUGUCAUCCCAAAUUGACAUUUAGCAAUGUGUUUGGGUAAUACAUGUGACGAAAAAUGUCACAUGGUAUGACAAAAAAAUUCAUUCAUUUACCGUGAAAUUAUAAUCAUUUUGUCAAUAUGAUCUAAUCAAUUACGAGAUAUGAAUAUGUAUUAAUUUCAAUUAUCGAUCGUAUCUUUCAUUCCACUAUUAAGUCAACUUAAUCAAAAACUCUUUUUCGACUUAUAAGUACACCUUAGCCAAAGAUUUCGUUAUCAAUAUAGCCCCCGUUUGGCCUCCAUUUUGUGGUAAUGAAAAUGAGUGGAAUAGUAUUUUAUUUUUUUUAAAUAAGUGGUUGAAAAAGAAAGAAUUUUUUUUAUUUACAUAUAAUAUUAUUUUAUGGAAGAUUGUAUGGUUGAAAAUAGGAGAGAGAAAAAUAGAAUGUAAUUUAAUAGGGGGCCAAACAAGGGCAUAAUUAAAUAAAAUGUAGAUCAUAAUAUUUUAUUAUCUGAGAAUGAUGAAUCCUCUAUUGAUCAUUCACAGCAUUCUAUGAUCUUGACAUACCUAAACGAUGCCAUAAUAGCGACCAUUGACAGAGCAACAUUCAAAAUCAUCAAAGUAUGUAUGUCCUCAUAUAAAGUACUAUGAUGACUUCAAGUCGAAGGACCAGUUCCACUACCAAACGUUAAAGAUUAAACACAAAUACUCAGAUAAUUACAUAUGUAGAAUCUCCCUAGCUGGUCUCCAAUGUUUUGUUCUAUAACAAAAUAUCCACAUGUUUAUUUAAGUGUUAUCUCAAUUAAUUUGUGAGAUUAGCUACUUAUUUCACAAGUAAAAAAUGUCACAAUUGAUCUACUCAUAAUAAUUAUAUCCAUAAUAACUAUAUACAUAUCUCAUUAUUACUUACGACCACAAAUAAUUUAUCAUUCAGUCAUAUUGUAAUUUGUAUUUCAAAUUCACAACUCCUUGUGAAUAACAAAUUACUAUUACUUAAAUCUACGGAUUCUAUUAUUUAAUAAUAGAUCUGCCAUAAAUGAAAUGCAUCAAUUAUAUAUUAAAAAUAUUUAUGUCCAAAGUUGAUUGGACCUAGAGCACAAUACUUACAAACUCUCACUUGUACUAAAUCCAAUCAUUUAUGUAUCUAAAUUCAUAAGAGUCUACAUUACAAUCAGGAACCGUGUGCUGAUUAUCCUCUAAAGGUAAGUUUUCUUCUUCCUUAUGUAAAAAGAGAAUAAAUAAAUCAAUCAAAUUUAGACUUUAUGCUAUUACAACUCUUUGUCUAUGGAUCUGUAAUUUAAUAGCUUGUGGGAUUUCGUUCUUCAUUUACAUUAUUUCUUUGUAUUAUUUCUCUAAUAAGAUGAUAUCGCCUUAACACAUAUUUAGUCAUUAAUGAAACCCUAAUUUCUUUGCUUGCGCAAUGGCUCCAUUGUUAUCACAAUACAAAGGUAUGUGAUCAAUAAUGGUAGGACCUACUCUAAGUUCAUUGUUGAACUUCCUCAUCCAAACCACAACCUUUGUUGCUUCUAAAGCAAUAAUAUAUAAGACUUCUACUAUUGAAUCGACGAUUGUUUCUAUUUGGAACCACACCGCUCAAGAGUAACCCAAUAUCCUAAUUGAGAUUUACGAUCAUUCUAGUCUGACUAGAGGUUAGCUUUACUGUAUCCAUGAACUCUCAGUUCAUUUUCUUUAUGUAAAAUAUUCUCAAGAUCUCAUCUAUGUAGAUUGGGAUGAACUAAACAAUCUUCUAAAUCUAUCUCCACAUAUCAAGUUGUUUUUCCCAGAUCUUUCAUAAGAAAAUCCUUUAACAACCAUAAUUUAACAAUUGAAACGUAGGGAUAUCGUUUCCUAUUAAUAUGUUAUCUACAUAUAAUAUCAAAAAUAUGACAAUGCUACCACUAUCUUCUUAUAAACAUAUGGACCUUCUUCAUUUUUGAUAAAAUUAAACAUCUUAACUUUCUCAUCAAAUUGAAGAUUUUAACUCCAAGGGGCUAGCUUCAAUCCAUCUAUGAAUCGAUCAAGCUUGCAUACCUUGUAAAGUAUAUUUGGAUUCAAAACUUUUUGAGUUGUAUCAUAUACACUUUCUCUUGAUAGUUCCUGUUAAAGAAUACAGUUUUGACAUCAUUUUCCCAUAACUCAUAGUCAUGGUAUGUAGCUAUGUCAUGUAUUAGUUUUUUAAGUCGUAGUUUAUUUCGUUCAGAUUAAAAACUAAUUAAAACUUAAAUUAAAGUCAAUAUUUAAUUUUAAUUAUACAUUGAACUCCUAUUUGAGACCCAUUUUUAUGAAAUAAUAAUUUUUUGGAGAAUGUGCAAUUAAAAAGUAAGAAAAAGUUUUGAAUUUACUCUAAAAUUAUUUUAUGAAAUAAUUUGUUGCUGAAUGAAUUUUUAAAAAUUGAGAUUUUGAAAAAAUUGAGCCCAAACAAAAUUUAAUGUGGUCCACAAAUUUUCAACCAUAUAUUUCAUUAACUUUUAUGAAAUUUAUCUAAACCAGACAGGGACUACAUUUUAAGCAUGUUAUUAUUGGCCAUUUUUGGUAAUUGAUGAAUGAAGGUGAAUUAAGUGAUGAAGAGAAACACGCUAAAAGAAUAUAGGCAAAUGAAUCAAAAAUAAAAUUGUAAUUUCAAAAUUCAUUUUCAUCUUUCUUCUUUCACUAUAUUAUUUUCAAUUGAAGGCACUUUUGAGCUUUGAUUUAAAUGCAAAACAACGAUAGGUUGACAAUGUACUAUAGGAUAUAUUCUCAAUAAUUAAACUUUAAGACUUGGGUAUAUUACUGCAAGGCACUUGCUAUAGUAUAGUUGGCUAGCUGAUAGCAAAAAUAAAAAAUAAUAAUUAUUUGUGUUAAGCAUUAAUUCCAUCAAAUUUAAGCAUAUGUUGCUAAAUGUUUCGAGACGAUAACAUUGCAAAAAUGAUGGACCUCAUUGCCGAGAAAAUUUGUAAAAGAUCAUCAGUUAUUGGAUUAGAAGACGAAUUAAAUAAGAUACACAGUUAGACUACUAACUUGCCCAUAAACAAAUUCUUUGGUUUACCACUACAAGCAAUGCAUUAGGUUUCCAAAUUGAUGGUUGUACAUGCUCUCAUCAUCCUUCUGAUAUCAAAUCUGAAAUAUCUUGAACUUCCAGAAAACAUUUCAUUUGCAUCUAAAUUUGAUCCUCUACGCGUUGAAAUACCAAUGCUUUUGUAUCGAUUCAAGUCCUUAAAUACCAAACCCUAACCCUUCAAUCAAGAACGUUGACUCCCUCCUGCCUCUUCUCCAUCACCUUCGAUCCGUCAAUUCCAUCUCCAUCCCAACUCGAAAUCACCGUCAAAGGUUGAAGAAAAACAAAGGAAUGGGCUGCGUUUUUGAAAUGGCCUCGCCAAACCCUCCAAUCACUUAAGUCUAACUUACUAAUUAUUUGACCUUAUGAUUUCUUCACAAGAUUUGGAUUUUUCAACACUACAAAAAGAAUAUUUUGUUUAAAUCUUUGAAUAUUGCAACAAAAAAACACAUUAUCUAUCAUACUAUAAGCAAAAAAUUUAAAAUUUGACCAAGUAAAAUGAAGAUGGAAAUGGAGAUGGAUGAAGAAAACUUGAAGAAUGGAGAAGGAGAUGGAGAUGAAGAAAUCUUGAAGAAUUGAUUUUUGGUAGAAGAGAAUUUCUUGACUCUUCAAAUUUUUAAGAGUGUGUUUGAUUUCAAGUAUGAAAUUUACAUUAAAAAAAAUAAAUUCUAGACAAUUUACUUAUUUGCAUGAAAAUUGUCAAUUAAAUGUGUUUGAUUAAUUUAAUUUUUUAAUUUGAAAAAUAUUAUACUUAUUUAUUUUUUAUUGGAGGUAGAUGAGAUCAGAAGAGAGAGAAUUACAUCGAAAAUAAAAACAUACUCCUCCUAAAAAUCCUUUUUUUUUGUUUUUAAGGAAAAUAUAGUCAUGUGACCAAAAGUAAAAAAAAAAAUACUUUCUAUGGAAAAAAAUAUCAAUCAAAUAGCUCAAAAAAUAGAAAUUUGAGUAAAAAAUAACAUUUUCUAUGACAAAUAUUAACAAUCAAAUGCACCAUAACAUUCUUCAAAUUCCUAAUGUUCAAAAUGAGGGAAAAAUGUAUAUUAUGAAUUUCUUUAAUUUUUUUUUUUUUUUUUUUUUUUUUUUUUUUUUUUUUACUUAAAUCUGGUCAAAAGCCAUUAUGAAAAAUAGGCGGACGACCAUUAGCCACCAAUUCCUCUCGAUACCGUGGAAAAGUGGAGAAAGACCGAAGAUGAGAGAAAAUGAAUAGGAAUCCAAAGUAAACGAUGUCAUUUUAGCCCUUCCAAUUAAAGAAAAAAUGGAAUUAAUGAGGAAAAAAAGUAAUUUAACAUGCGUCCCUUUCAAUAAACAGGAAUAUUUCUAAGUAAUAUCUAACACCUGUAGAAUAUUUAUUUCAAUUAAUUAUAUUUAAUUCAUCUUCUUUUACAAACCUAAAGAAGAUUUACAUAUACAGUCAAAAUCAAACCUUAAUUUUAAUUAUUCGUUCAUAAUUAUUAUUUAUUAUUAUCUGCCCAUUCUCUGGAAAUUACUAUUUUUCUUCAUAAAUUAUUUAUAAAUUUACCUAACAAAAGUUAAUUUGUCUUACUGACAUGAAAAUCCUGUUGGAUUUUUAUAUCAAUACGUCAAGCCAGUCUUCUGUCCACUUUAAAAGUCUACUCGAGAGUUUUAUUUUCAUCAGUUUUAACUAAUUUUGAUGGCACCAUUUACGAGAAAUUUAAAAAAAAUAAAAUCGUGAUUGUUAGUUUUUUGGGCAUUGUUUUUGGAUGGUUAAAAAGUCAGCCAAAAAUGGUGCAGUGAAAUUUUUAUCGAUUCUCUCAACUUGUAAAAUCGACGAUUUUUUACUGUUUCUUAAAUUUGCUUCUAAUUUUACCCUUUAUAAAAUAAUUAUUUUGAACCAAUACAUUUUGUUUAACACUAACUUAUACAUAAAAUAUACUAACUAAAAAAUUAUUUAUAAGCAAAAAAAUGUACAUUAUAAUUAAAAAAUUACUUAUAAGAUUAAAAAAAUUAUAUUUGUGUAAAAAAAUCACUCAUGAGACAAAAAAUACUUAUAAAAUAUAAAAAGUUACAUAUAAAUAAAAAAUUCACUUAUGUGUAAAAAUUAUUUAAAAGUGCCUUGUUUCAGCCCAUUUUGGAGGGAAAAAAAUGAAUUUUUGAAGGGUCAAAGAAAUUUUUUGAAUUGUGUAUAAUAUUAUUUUAUUGAAAAAUAUGUAGUUGAAAUGAUAUCAAAAUACUGCAGAAGAAUGCAUUUUUUUCUAAAUAAUAGGACUCAAACAAGUUGUAACUUAUAAUUAUAAAGUUUUUUAUAACUAAAAAAUACAAAUAUAAAAUUUUUAAGUAUAUAUUUAACUUAUAAAGUUAAAUAUAUAUAUAUAUAUAUAACCUUACAUAUAAGUAAAAUGUUACUUAUAAGUAAAAAAAAAAAAAAAAUUCAUACAAAAAUCUAAAAUAAAAAUUUUACUAAAGGACAUAUAUAAAAAACCUUACAUAUAAGUAAAAUGUCAUUUUUUAUUUAUUUUUUAAAAACUUUAAGAACCGAUGUAUAAUAAACUCCCAAAUAUGGGUUGGAACAGCUAUUAAAACCACUCAUAAUCCAUUCGUUCAUAUAAGUUUAAAAUCGAUACUUUAAAAAAUGUUCAUAACCGAUACAUCGAAACUCCCAUACAUGCCCUAAAUUACCUUGAUGUUGUGUCAAAAGACAACAUUAUAGUUCGACUAAGAUUUGAGAGUUCUAUCAAGAGAUUAAUUGGAAAUGUAGGAUCAAAUUUAGUUACAUUGAUAAUUGUCCAAAUUAUUUGUAAAAUCCCCCCACCCCGCCCCAAGAAAAAUUCCCAAAUUCCCCAUAACGGCGUGUGGACGAAUUUCUUCAUUAAUACCCUUUCUUGCCCACAAAGCCAAGAUCCGCAUCUCCCUAAUGGCAAUCGAGAUAUUUUCAAACCUGAUUUUUAUAUAUUUAGCCUUUAUUUGAAUCAUAUUAUUUUCAUAAGAAUAUAUUUUUGAAUAGUGUAUUGAUGAAAAAUGUAUGAUUACAAAAUAAGGAAAAGUUUUGAAUUUACGUGUAAUAUUAUUUUAUUGAAAAAUGUGUGGUUGAAAUGAUGUCAAAUCAUCAUUUAUGAAUGUAUUUUUUUGAAAAAAUGUGGCUCAAAUAGGGCUUUAGGAGGGUGUAUUAUAUUGGGACUUUUGAAAACUUUGAUGAACUUUUUUUAACUGAUGAUUUCUAUGAAUUUUGUGGAUCUUUUAUAGAUUUGUAUGAAUUAGUGGAAGUCUUUCAUAGACUUUUAGAGACUUUUAUUUAUAAUUUUUUAUGGACUUUUAUAGAAUUCAAAAGACUUUUGAAAACUUUCAUUUGAGAUAGAAUUUACGUAGAUAUAGUACAACGAUGUGAAAUUCUCACAUACGAGGUGUUAGUUCCCACAAUUUCCUUUUUCCUUCUCCGCAUUCUUCCCAUAUAAUUAAAAAAAAUUAAAGAAUAAAAAUCUAAGAUCUUAAUUAAAGCUUUGUUUGGUACACGUUAAUGUAAAAAUGAAAAUGAAAAAUAUAACCGUUACAGACCUCAUACAAGAAAUAGAAAGUCAAAUAUGAUGGCUUAAUAUGAGGGAUAACAGUCAUAUUUUUCAUUUUAAUGGGCAAAUAAUGGGAAACAAAUGGGGGCUAAAAAAUAAUAAUCAAAAUUAUACAUAUAUAUGAUAAUCAAUAAAUGUAAUAUUCAAUAUUAUUAAUAUAAUAUACUUUUAAAAAUAAAUAAAAAUAAAUAUUUUUAAAUUUAAUUAUAAGUUUUUCAUAUAAAAUUUUAUAAUUUAAUAAAAAAAUAUUUUUCACAAAAAAUAAGUGCAAGAAUAAAAAAUAAACUUACAAGAAUCCAAUUUACUUUUUCAUGAAAAAUAAAGAUAAAAAAUAAGAGAGAAAGAGGAAGAGAGAGAGAGAGAGAUAUAAAGAUAAAUGAAAAUAAAUAUAAUCAAUAGAAAAAAUAAAUUUUAAUCAUACCUGUCCGUGGCAGGAAAAGGGAAGAAAUGUUGGAAAAAAAAAACUUUUCUUUUAAAAAAAGUCUAUCAAAAUUUCGUAAUUAAUGAGCGACAAAAUUUUAAGAUUUUAUGUAAGUACUUUCUGCUUAGAAUUUAGUACUCCAAAGACUUGUAUAAAAGUCGAUACAAGUUAUUAAAAUUUAAAUAUCUCAAAAUUUAUAGAGAUUUCUAAAAAGUUUUAAUUGAAUACACUGUAACUUUUAGAGACUUUUUAAAAGUUUAUAAAAAUCUCAAUUGAAUAUACCAUGACUUUUAGAGAUUUCUUAAAAGUCUCAAUUGAAUAUAUCAAUACUUUUAGAGACUACUAAAAGUCUCAAUUGAAUACCUCUAAACUUUUUAAAUUCCAAAAAGUCAUUUAAAGUCUCAAUUGAAUACACACAUUUAAUGUUUGUCGAUCCCAUUAUUUUUAAAAUUCAUUUUUUAUCUUAUUUCAAUCGCACAUUCUUCAAUAAAAUAAUAUUACACAUAAUUUUAAACUUUUUCUUUCAUUUUAAACCACAUAUUCUUUAAUUCGUCACCUUCAUCGUCUUCCAACAAAAUCAUCUAUAGAACAACCCUAAGAGUAAAGGGCUUUGGGCUAGCCCACUAAUAAUACCAGUCCAACUAGAUAAAAUAGAAGAUAAAUGGUCCACUUGAGUGAAGUUAGCCAUGACAUCCCUCCCACUUAAAUUAACCUUGUUCCUAAGGUUCAAAGUCACGAUGUCUUCUUUGUAUGUUGUUAGCAGUUGCCUCAUUCUCUUCAUCAUCUUUGGAUUAAGCAGGUAGUGCAAAAUGGGCACAUGCCUUAUUAGCAACAAUCUUCUCGAUCAACCCAGGAAUUCCAUACAAUUCCAAUUGUGUACUCCAACCAGAUUGAAUCUAAAGAAAUGGAAAUAGAGAUUGAUGAAGCUACAUUCUUUGCAUCAAAAAACAUAAUGCUAAAGUUUUCAUCAUAAGGGUUGUUAUCCUCUACAAAAGUCUUGGUAGUCUAAUCAUCAUCAGUAGCUACUAACAUAUUGAAUGGUCCAUCUCGAACCCCAGAGAGAGUUCUUUUCAUUUCUUUUUGAGAGAUAUCACCAUGUAAGGCUUCAGAACUAAAGUGUCUUUGCCUAGCAGAUGCCAACUGAUCAGCAUUACACUUUGUUUUGGUAAAAACAAUACAUUUACCUACUUUUGCAUGCUCAGUUAUAAGAGUUCCAAUUAUAGCUGGUUUCUCUCGCAUUUCUGAUGAAAUUGCAAAUAGUGAAAUUUGAAUAAAAUCUCCCGCAAGGUCAACAUUAACUGGAUUUUUGAAGAACUUUUGUGUAAGUUUUAUUAUCGAAUUCAACAUUGUAGCUAAAAUCAUGAUGGUCUUAUGCUUUUGCGACAUAUAUCCCUGGAUUGUCUCAACAUCAUCCAUGAAUCCCACGUUAAACAUCUGAUCAGCUUCAUCUAGAACCACAAACUGAACCUCUAAUAAACUCAAAGAACCCCUCUUAAUCAAAUCUAUAACCCGACCAGGAGUACCAGCAACUACAUCAACACCUUGCUUAAGGGGAUCCAUUUGACAUGAAUUUGGCAUGCCCCCAUAAAUGCAUAGAGUGUUUAAAUUUAGAGUAGACUGAUAGAAUUCUUUUUCCACUUGGCAAGCAAGUUCUCUGGUUGGAGUCAAGAUUUAUCAGUUACAAUUUUUGUCAUUAUGGACCUCCCAACAUCUCUUGAAUCGGGUGAAAUUCCACUUAUUUCAACCACUAAAUUACCAUAUACUACCAUGGGACUAAUUUACUCUCUUCUGAAAGCUCCACUGAGCUCAUUCUAAACAUAGGUUCCACAACUCUAGACUUGGUUUUACCAAAAUCAUCAAAAUCAAUAUCAAACGAAGAUAAUUUCUUGAUAAUUUAUCAUCACUAACCUCGAAUUCCUUGGAAUCAGACUUCGAAUCUAUACCAACAAAUCCAAGCCCAAUUGGCGAGGAACCUCCACCUCAGACCCUAAAACUGGUCCAAACCUGAAUUCCAUGCCCAAAUCCUCUGGGAGAACCGAAUUGAACUCCCAAGUUGGGUGGUCUAGAAAAUAGGCUUCACGAGACUCGAAUAUAUCGGUGACAAAAUUCAUUUGUUCCUCUUUGGAGGUUGAUUGAUCCUCAAUCAUUUUAGUCAUCAUUGAGAUCAUCAACUCCUGCUUUCUAUUAAAUUCUUCCAUUGCUUGUUCUAUCAUGUCCUGCUUAGUACAUACCACUUUCAACUGUUCCUCCCAUGAUUUUGCAACUACAACCAAAUCUGAUACUUUUCUGCCUAACAUUUUCAGAUGUUCUUCAAUUGAAUUGCAUCUAGUUUCAGCCAUACCCAGAUUGAUUGAGUCAUCAUUGAGAUCAUCAACUCCUGCUUUCUAUUAAAUUCUUCCAUUGCUUGUUCUAUCAUGUCUUGCUUAGUACAUACCACUUUCAACUGUUCCUCCCAUGAUUUUGCAACUACAACCAAAUCUGAUACUUUUGUGCCUAACAUUUUCAGAUGUUCUUCAAUUGAAUUGCAUCUAGUUUCAGCCAUACCCAGAUCACGUUGCUGCUCUGAUACCAUUUGUUAUUGUUAAAGCUCAAUUUCUAUAGAAUUCAACCAAAAUCAACAAACAAUUGGAUAUAAUCAGCUGGGAAUCAAUAACCCAAGCUGUAAUUCUAUUAAUUAAGUUGAAGCUUACACGAAAAUAACAAAAUGGUUGCAGCAGAAGACAGGAAGAAGAGUGGAAGAAGGAGAAAGAAGAGGAAGAAAACAACAGAGAAGAAGAAGAUACCACAGAAGAAGAAGAAAAAGAAAGAGAAACAGUGAAAAGGAGGAGGAACCCAGAGGAAGAGAAGAAGAACAGGUAAGAGUUAGCAGCAGCAAGACUCGAUUCAAUUCAAUUCGUCCCCUUCAUCGUCUUCCAACAAAAUCAUAUAUAGAACAACCCUAAGAGUAAAGGGCUUUGGGCUAGCCAACUAAUAAUACCAGCCCAAUUAGAUAAAAUAUAAGAUAAAUGGUCCACUAGAGUUGGCUAGCCCAAAGCCCUUUACUCUUAGAGUUGUUAUAUAUAUGAUUUUGUUGGAAGACAAAGGACGAAUUGAAUUGAAUCGAAUCGUGGCUUGUUGUGUCUUGUCCCUAUUCUCUCCUCUUCCCCGGUUUCUUCCUCUUCUUUUUCUCUCUACUGGUCUAUCUCUUCACUCUACUCUGGAUCUAUUUUGAAUCUGAACCGCUUCUUACUUUUCUAAUUUUGCCCCUUCUUUUUUUGUUUUCUGUUAGCUUUGUAAUUUCUAUGUAAGUUUCAGUUCAAUUAAUAUAAUUACAGCUUGAGUUAUUGAAUCUUGAGUAAUUACAAUUUAUAUUCCGCAGCUUGAGUUUAUGGCUUCUUGUUAUUGGUUGAGCUCCACCCAUAACAAUUAUGUUUACGUUUAUUCCAGCUUUAGGUCUGUUCUUACAGAUUACGUUUACGUCUCACAUUUUUUGCAUAAUAUUUUCUUGAAAUAUUGAGUAGAAUAUUUAUCAAAUUUAGGGGUCAAUAGGAUGGUUAAGGGUUGGGGAAUCGUUGAUUUCUUGUUAGGCAAAUAUUUUUAGUAGUUAGGAUUCACUAUUCUGGAUUCAUAUUGUUUUGUACGUAGAUUUUGGCAUUAUAAUGGAUCGGAUCUUAAAGGCUGUUUGCAUCUAUGAAAUUUACAGUAUAUUUUGUUAGUCAUAUAGAUUUAGGUUGCUAUCAAAUUCUCAGUUUUGUGCAGUCAAGUUUUUAUGACAUGAACAUGUGUGUAAAUAAUGGAGGACUGGAGUUUGGAGAUCUUAAUCAUAUAUAAAAAAGGUAAAUAAUUUUCUUAUUUACCUUUUUUAGAAUUCUCAAUAAUCACAUUUAUUUAUUUUAUUUUGAAUUAUAGGUUUCUUGCACAUGCAACUAUUAGAAAAUUUUAAUUACUCAUCUUUCAUGAUUAGCAGCAGUGAUUCUUCAAAGUUUGAUGGAUUGUGCUGGGCUAGGAGAAUGGGGGCGCAUUUUCAUGAGCCUUUUUGAUCUAUGUAUAUGUAUAUUUCAAUGAUAUAAUUGUUCGGCCCCAGUUAUUGAUUUCUUAAAGAAUAAAGUAAAAUUGUUGUCUACAACUGACCACUCUUGAAAAAAUGAAAUUUCUAGCACAGUUAAGAGUGUUUGAUGCAUUGGUUAACCUAACUGCCUUCUUUGUCUGAUAUGUGACAUUCUUAUUGCUUUGCAGAGGGUUAUAUAAUUUGGUUACUUGUGUUUCUUCUCUUUCACAUUUUUCAGUUUAGGAAGUGCCUAACAGUUGAAAUUGUUUCUCUAUACUGUCAGGCUUGUUAGAUUUUGAUUUGAAGAGAUCAAUAGUAUUUUGGACAUGGAACAAGUACGCCUUUGGUCUGAUUGCUACCAGCAUCAAGUUUUUUCAUUCCGGGAAGUUCUCGAUUGGCGGUUUCUCACCCUUGGAGAUUUCCUUCUUGUUUCCUACGUGAAUUGCACUUAGUGAACAACUUCUAAAUGUUCAGUGUAAAAGGCCACAUGCGCAUUUCUUUUAAAAUAGACGUUGAAUCUUUAGGGAGCUUCUUCACGUGAGUUGCAUAUUAAAAUUUAUUCUGAAAGCUUGUUAUGAUUUUGAUUAAGACCACACUCUUAAUCUUCUUAAGAAAGCUAUUUUGUUUUUAGUUCAUUGGUGAUACAUGUCACAAUUUCAAUUUACUCAUUUAAUUCUACGUAAAAAGAUUUCAAAAUUUUGUAUACUUCGUGAAGAGAGAAGACUUUUGGUAAUUUAUAGAGUAUGGCGUAGGCAAGCAUCAAUUGAUAAUUAAAAAUUUUCUUAUAUACUUGGUUACAUUACAAAAAGUAUAUUAGAGACUAGUAAAUAUACAAAAGUUGCAUUACAAAAGUUCUCCUACCAAAAGUGGCACUAUGCAAAAGUCGCCUUAAGCACCAUAUCGUACUACGAUAACUAACCAAUUUGUAUCAAAAUUUAUACAUCAAAGGCCACCGGACACAUUAUUUUUCCAGGAAAACUAUCCAAAAAUAAGUAUAUCAUAGUGGUGGCUUCAAAAUAGUCGAUGUAGUAGCGGAUUCCUACAAAGUGGUUAAAGCCCAAAAAAUCUGGAUAUGUCAUCCACGUGUGGAUUUCUUUGACAAACAUGCAAUAUUUGCCACCUUCUGAAAACGUCCAUUCUCCAGAAGUAAAAUCAAUGUAUUCGACCGUGAUCAUCUACAAGAAAAAUAAAAAAAUAACGUGAAUAUAUUUAUUCAACGAGUAGUCUAUACCAUAAUCUUUCUUUAAUUUGAAUAAGAAAGGAAAACAAUGGGCCCCAAUUAUAGAUGUUGAUUCUUACCUGUGCACGCAAUAUGAAAAUAACAAUACAUGAGCUCAAUAGUCAAUUACACCAAUUUGGUGUAAAAAUAAUAAUAUCAAUCACUAUCCAAUGCAAUGCGAAUAUCCAAUGUCAAUAUCAAUGGGUAGAAUCUUGGAUCUAUAACUGAUUUGAAAAGCAAGAAGUAAUCCAAUAAACAUAAUUGAAAUAAAUAUGUUUGGAAUAAAAGUAGGUAUAGACUACUCACCUUCAAUGUUGCAAGACAAUUAAAGUGCUACCUUUGUAAAGUUACUUGACUUUUGUUUUGUUGUAUGCAUUUCCCUUUCUCACCCUAUCCCCUAUUUAUAGUAGUAAUUUAGAAUUAAAUUAACAAUUAAGUUAUUUUUCCAUAAUCAUUAUUUUGCCACACUUUACCUUAUCAUGUCAUUUGGCUUUGUAGUAUUUAAGGUGGCAAAAUGAUAAGUGUAGAGUUAAUGAAAGGUAGUCACUUUAUUUCCUCAAUUUUACUACAUGGUUUUUAAACCAAAAUUUUAAUUCAAUUCUUUUCAUAAGAUUAUAAUAUAAUUAACAAACUUUUUAUUAUGUUACAUAAAAUGUACAACGCAUUAUAAACUUACUAAAAAAAAUGUACAUCACAACACAAAACUUACUAAAGUCUUCGGAUGUCACAAUACAACAUCCAUUUCAAACCCUCUGAAAACCAAUUUGCCAGUUAACUUUUAGACACUAUAAUUAAUUUUAGCUUUGGAGACUAUGCUCAGUUUUUUAAGCUGGUGUUCUUUUUCUUUCUACUUUUUACCACAGAGCUGAAGUCCGCAAGUAAACAAAGAAUGCUUGUUACGUGGUUUAAUAUGUAGCACACUUGCUUGUGCAGAGUUUUUAAGUAUUAGAUAAUGUCAUUUUCUUUCCACUCUCUCCCUGGUGGCUCAUUAAGAUUGACAAGGUUCUAUUGACUCGAGAUUUAAAUUGGAUUCUGUUUCAGUGUAGUUUUUUGUGUGGAAGCUUUCAUUGAUCAUGUAAUGCGCUAGGCAUUCCAUCUGUUGGGUUGAACUUCGGCAUGUUCUCAAUUUUUAUUCUGUAUCAAGAUGCUCCAUAGUUCUUCCUUGCCUUGCUGUCAUCUGGGGAUAUAUGAUAUGGUAUAUCUUAUGAAUAAGGUUGUGAAGCCCGUCCAUCAUAAAGUCGUCGGUAUUUAUCGUGUGCAGAGUAUAACAGAAAAUUAGUGGUGGAUUUUUUAUGAAUCGGACCGAAAUUUGCAAGAUUUGAUAUACAGUCAUCUGUUGGAUAUACGAGCACUGCUUUUCUUUUAUGUCUUUACUCAUUUUUCAAUUAAGUUUCGCGGGUAGUUGAAGUCGUGAGAAUGGAAAGGUAUGUUGUUUUAUGACUCCUGAGUUUGGUAAUUUGUUAGUGUCUUUUUUCUAUUGGAGUUAUCAUAGUAGUAAAUGCAGGUACAAGAUUAUUAGGGAGGUUGGUAAUGGUACAUUUGGAAGUGUCUGGCGUGCUCUGAAUAAGCAGUCUGUUGAAGUGGUAGGUAUAUUUUUCAUUUAGAUUCUUCUAAAGUUUAAAUCGAUUAAGUUGGUUUUAUUUCAAAUUAAUAUUUACUUCAUCAGGUUGCAAUAAAAAAGAUGAAGAAGAAAUAUUAUUCAUGGGAAGAAUGCAUAAAUUUAAGAGAAGUCAAGGUAACAUAAUUUACAUUUUUAUUGAUUUUUUGAUUUCUAUUUGUGGAAGAUAAACGAUUGUUUUUCUUCUUGACAGUCACUGUGGAAUGAACCAUCCAAAUAUAGUUAAGCUCUAGGAGGUUAUUAGAGAAAAUUAUGUCUUGUACUUUGUCUUCGAGUACAUGGUAUGUGUUGCUUAUGUCAUCUGUAGAUGUCUUUAGCUUUUCUGAUAGCUUCUCACUCUGUAUAUUAGCUUGUAAUAUCUGCUAUUUUUUUAGGAAUUCAAUCUGUACCAGCUUAUGAAGGAUAGGAGAAAACUUUUUUCGUAAGCAAAAUUAAGAUCUUGGUGCUUCCAAGUUUUUCAAGGUCUAGUGUACAUACAUCAAUGUGGAUACUUCCAUCGUGACCUCAAGCCAGGUGAUUACACAAAAAAAAUUAAAUAAAUUAAAUAAUUGCAAUGUCAUUCUUUGUGUUAGGAGUAUGAUUCAAAUAUGAGUCUUUUGAAGAGGCGUAUUCGACUUGGUCUAGGAGAAUAUUAACCACGGGUUUAAGGAAACUAAGUUGAAUAAGAAAACAAAAUCCUAUUGAAAUUGGGUCUCCUAAUUGUAAUAUAUUUUCUUGCCUCUUAGGACUCUUCUAGGGUUGGCCUAUAAUACGAGGCUCCUCGGUCAGUUUGUAGAGAGUAACAUAGAAGCAGUAUUGCUAGUCUAUAUUGUAUUCUCCAUAUUGUUCAGUUUAAUAAACAUCGUUCUCUACCUUAAUCUCUUUGUUCUUUCUUUACAAAUUUAAUCUUGUGUUUUCCUGUGUGUGAUCUAGUAUACUUCAAUAUUGUCAUUAAAUCUCGUUCUUUAGAAUCCAAUUUGGAGUAAAGUGUGUUAUUGGAACUUCCGCCCCCAACAAGUGGUAUCAGAGCUUAGGUCCUUUCGUAGAUUGGUUGAAAUUUUUUCAGGAUGGCUGGGUUGAAGUAUGAUAUCCCGCAACUAGAACGCAAUACAAGAUUUUCUUUAUGGCAAGUAAAGGUGAGGACUGUUCUGGCGCAAUUGGAUUUGGGCGAUGCGUUGCUAGAUUUUGAGAAGAUGCCAGCUGAUUGGACAACGGAGGAGAAAUAACGGAAGGAUCGGAAGGCUGUGUCGUUAAUUCAUCUUCAUUUAUCUAACAAUAUUCUGAGGAUGUUUUGAAGGAGAAGACGACUGCUGCUUUGUGAUUGAGACUAGAACAGUUAUGUAUGACUAAAAAUCUUACUAGUAAACUGGCUCUUAAGUAGAAGAUGUAUUCCCAUAGCAUGACGGAAGGAGGAUUGUUGGAAGAUCAUAUUGUCGUGUUCGAGGAAAUAGUUGCAGAUCUGGAGACGUUGGAGGUUAAGUACGAUGAAGAGGAUCUUAUCUUGAUCCUGUUGUGUUCUCUGCCUAAUUCUUAUGCAUCGUUUCAAAAUACUAUCUUGUAUAGUCGAGAUACUCUGACUGUAGAAGAUGUCUAUGAUACUUUGCAUUCAAAUGAGAAAAUGAAGCAUUCGGUUGGAGCUACAUCAAGGGAUGGAAAAGCUCUUGUAUCUCAAGGUGGUCGAAGAAGAGGCAGAUCGAGAGUUAGAUUUAGCAAUGUGACCUGUUACUACUGCAAAAGGAAUGGACAUAUUCGAAAGGAUUACGAUAUGUUGCAGGCUAAAGGUGAUUUAACUGCAAAUCAUGGGGUGCAACCUUUGAAUUCAGACGAAACCAAUGUAGUUGAGAAUUGUUUAGAUAGCAAAAAUGUGAUGUUGACCGUGGUAUCUGAUGUGGAGUCUAGGCCUGACGAGGAGUGAAUUCUUAAUUUAGCAUGUUCGCACCAUAUGCGUUUCGAUAGAAAUUUAUUUCAGACGUAUGAGGCUGUUCAGCAAGGUGGAGUUCUAAUGGGAAAUAACUAGUCUUGUAGUAUUACUAGGAUUGGUCCAGUCAGAUUGAAGCUGCGGGAUGGAACAUUUAGAACAAUUGAUCAGGUUCAACAUGUUCCUGACCUAAAAAGAAAUCUCAUUUCUCUGAGUACCCUAGAUACAAAAGAGUAUAAAUUCUCUGGAGGAUGUGAAGUCUUAAAGGUCCGAAAGGGAGUUCGAGUUGUACUGGAGGGACGGAAAGAUCCCAGUUGUACAUUUUGCAGGGAAGUGCAGAACCAGUUAAGAAGAGACAUUUGGACAAGUUUAGUACCGUGAUGGAAGUUCGGUUUGGUAUAGUAUCUCUUGGGUUGGGCUCUAAGUCGAUUCACAACACUACUAGGGAGAGCGUUGGUGAUUCCGCUUUGCCACCAAUUUCAAUGAGUACACUAUGUUCGAUUGCUGGGGUAGGACUCAUCGAGCGUAGGUACCGUGAUGUCAGCAAUGUCUGGGAUGCUUCUAGGGACGUUAAAGGCGAUAGUUCUAGCAAGGGGCCUUCUGAUCAAGCAUCUGGUUUGGUUUUUGCUACACGACGUGCUUCGGCCCUGUGUCAUCAAUAUUAAUUUUUUGGUGGAAUUGGGAACCCUGGGGAUUGGGUUCCGGUGUCGGUUGUGGACGCCGAGCAGAGGACGGGUGUUUUGGUUUAUAUGAAGUGGUUAUUGUGUUGAGGAAAUUCGUCCAGUUCAUUUUGUUGCAAACGUAUUUGAAAUCUAGGAAUUUCGUUUGUAGCACCGAAAUUUGAAUCAAUGUGGAGAUUGUUAGGAGUAUAACUCAGAUAGGAGUCUUUUGAAGAGGCGUAUUCAACUUGUACUAGAAUAAUAUUAACCUAGGGUUUAAGGAAACUAAGUUGAAUAAGGAAACAAAAUCCUUGUUGAAAUUGGUUCUCCUAAUUGUAAUGUAUUUUCUUGCCUUUUAGGACUCUUCUAGGGUUGGCCUAUAAAUAGAGGCUCCUCUGGUCAAUUUGUAGAGAGUAACAUAGAAGUAGUAUUGCUAGUCUGUCUUGUAUUUUCCAUAUUGUUCAGUUUAAUAAACAUUGUUCUCUGCGUUAAUCCCUUUGUUCUUUCUUUACAAAUUCAAUCUUCUGUUUUCAUGUGUGUGAUCUAAUAUGCUUCUAUAUUGUUAUUAAAUCUCGUUAUUUAUAAUCCGGUCUGUAGUCAACGUGUGUUAUUGGAGCUUCCGUCCCCAACGCUUUGUUCUCACUGUGACAUAUUGUUGAAUAUUUUGCCAAUAACCUCCAUCUUCUAGGUUUGAAAUGCCCUUCCCGUUUUCUGGCUUGAGUUUUUCUUAUGAAAUUCAAAGUAACUUAUUGAAAAAGUAAUUAAAAGAUGUGUUGCUUUAUUCUACGUGCUUGUGAACUUUUAGUUGCAUAUCUUAUUCAAAUUAGGUAAAUGUAUCCUUACUCUUUAGAAUAUAGGGAUGGCAAUUUGAAUCGUCAAAAUCGAAAACUGCGGUUAACUGAAUCGAAUAGAGCGAAAAAAACCAAACCAAUAGUUCAAUGGGGCGGAUAUGAUAUUUGAUUUUAAUGAAAUGAUUCGAAGUGGUGCAGAUAUGGUAUUUACGCUGUCGUCCUAAACUGAACUGAUUACCCGUUAAAUUUAUUUUUUUCGAUCUAAAUAAUAAUCCAAUGCAAAAUGUGUAUUAAAAAAAUCUAAUUUUGCAAACUCCACAGGGGCCUUUUUUAUUCAUUUUUGCAACACACAUGAUGGUUAUCAACUCACUCGUUUUGAAGCGCACUCAACCAACAAUUUUAGUUUCAAAAAACUUAUUCUCUUACAGUAAAUUUGAUCAUUUGAUUAGUUUUAGGUAUUUGGUUUGGCUUGAAUUUAGUAUACAUAGUCUUUGCCUUUCUUGAUUUUGUUAACAGUAACCUAGAUAUCACCCUUGGUACCAUAAAUCGUCGCCUUUUUACAGAUGUACCCUCUAUCGGUCCUUUGUACAAUUUUAAUAUGGUAAGAGAUCAACAACACAAAUUGUUUGAAGUGCUCCAAUAUAAUUCACUCGACUAUCAGUUGAUAACCAUCAUGUGUGGCUUUUUUUGUAGAUUGCUUUUUUCAAUUUGACAACUAGACCUAUGAAAAAUAAUUUAUUUUCAUGGUUAUUAAUUGCCCCGAACCGAGCCGAACCAAAACCAACUUACGUGGUUAUGGUGCGGUUAUGAUAUAGCAAAAAAAUUGAUGGUUCGAUGAUAAUUUUGGCCAAACCGACCCGAACCGAACCGUUACCAACCCUAUUAGAAUUUGAAUAUGUUUCAAUUUGGAUAAGUAGACUUCAUGAUUGAUUGCAUAUUUGCUUAUUAUUAUUAUUAUUAUUAUUAUUAUUAUUAUUAUUAUUAUUAUUAUUAUUAUUAUUAUUAUUAUUAUUAUUUUACUUGCUGUUUUUUAAAUCAAGUGUGGUUAUCUUGUGCCAACUAAUAUCCUCAAAAUUGUGGCUGUCUAUUUUUUUGCAUUUAUACGUUCAUUAUUCUCUUUCAAAGAACUUCUAGUCUCAAAGGAUAUCAUAAAAGUUGCUGAUUUUGGUCUUGUACGGGAGAUAAACUCUCAACCUCCAUUCACGGAGUAUGUCUCAACACGCUAGUGGGUGGUUAUCUCUAUCUUUUCUAUUUACUUUUGACACGUACAUAUUUUUUUAUACUAAAAUGUACACAUUGUAGGUACCGGGCCCCUGAAGUUCUACUCCAGUCACCAACAUAUGGUCCUGCAGUUGGUGAGUAGAUGAUGAAAAAGGAGAUUUUGUUUUUGGGAAGUUUUUCAUGUUCUAAUCUAUUUGUUUUUUAACUUUCAGACAUGUUGGCUAUGGGCGCAAUAAUGGCUGAAUUCUUCACCCUUUUUCCUCUACUUCCGGGCUCAAGGUAGAAUAACUCUCUUUAAGAGGCAGGGCUGUUCUGGGAUGAGUUGUUUACCAUUCAUCUUAUCUGCUUGAUAUUUUAUGCCCAAUGUAAAAUAGAUAGUCACUCUGAAUAUCGUGUAUCUUGGACCUGGGCGUUAAACUAUUACCAUUCAAAUCUCAAAUAAAUAAGUGCAAUUCUAAAUAGUUCAUUCCCAUCAUGUGAUUUCUAGUUUUGAUUCCUCGUACUGAGCAUUAACUUAAACAAUUCUUUGUUUUUUGGGUGCUGCGAAGCCGAUGAAAUUUAUAAGAUAUGCUGCGUAAUAGGCAGCCCAACUAAAAAUAAAUGGCCCGAGGGGCUUGAACUUGCUAGUGGCAUCAAUUACCAGUUCCCAAAAGUAAGUUUUGUUAAAGGAAUAAAUCUCACAUCGGUUAAAUACUCAAAUAUUGACCAACUUAAAUAGAUCUUGGUCACUCCUCUUAAUAAGGUUGACUUUAUUAAGAUGGACCCCAAGUCUUAACAUGGUCUCAGAACCCAGUAAGCUCCAACGAGCUAUUCGAUCCGAUUAAAUCUAAAAAAUGAGCACACGAAUUUCAAGAUUGGUCUGCUCAAAAAGAGCCACAAUCUUGCGAGGGCAUAUUAAGGGAAUAAAUCUCACAUCGAUUAAAUACCGAAAUAUUGACCAACUUAAAUAGAUCUUGGAUCAACCUUAUUAAGAUGAACCACAAAUCUUAACAUGGUAUCAGAGCUCAGUAAACUCCAACGAUUUAUUCAAUCCGAUUAAGUCUCAAAAAUGAGCAUACGAAUUUCAAGAUUGGUCUGCUGAAAAAAUAGCCACCAUCUUGCAAGUGCAUGUUAAAUGAAUAAAUCUCACAUCGGUUAAAUACUGAAUUAUUGACCAACUUAAAUAAAUCUUAGGUCACUCCUCUUAAUAAGGUUGACUUUAUUAGGAUGGACCCCAAGUCUUAACAUGGUAAUGUUAAGGGAAUAAAUCUCACAUAGAUUAAAUACCAAAAUAUUGACCAACUUAAAUAGAUCUUGGGUCACUCAUCUUAAUAAGGUUGACCUUAUUAAGAUGGACCCCAAAUCUUAACAUGGUAUCAGAGCUCAGUAAACUCCAACGAGCUAUUUGAUCCAAUUAAGCCUCAAAAAUGAGCAUACGGAUUUCAAGAUUGGUCUGCUCAAAAAAGAGCCACCAUUUUGCAGGGGCAUGUUAAAGGAAUAAAUCUCACAUCGGUUAAAUACUGAAAUAUUGACCAAUUUAAAUAGAUCUUGGGUCACUCCUCUUAAUAAGGUUGACUUUAUUAAGAUGGACCCCAGAUCUUAACAUGUCGUGCAAAAAUUUUCCAUUGUUAAGAGAAGUGUUUCUUGAGUUCCAGGUUAUACGCAUGUUUUGGUAGCGUUUAUAAACACUUCAAAUUAUUAAUAGAUAGAAAUGAGUGGUGGAUAAGUGACAAUUCUUGUGGGUGACAGUGGGUCUCUGGAUAAUUUAUGUUUUCUCUACAUAUUAAAAUAUUUGGAGAAAAUGGAAAAGUAUAUCUAUUACCCACUUUUGUAAUGUUACUUAUCACUUUCUGACCUCCUUGCCAUUAUAACGGGAAACGAGAUGGUGAAGAGAUGGUCACUUUUAAGUUUAAAUAUAUGGACUGCAAGGAUUGUUAUAUUGGGGUGUCUUUUUUUCAAGCAUGAUUUCUUUACGUAUGAGAUCCGGAAUCUAUCUUUUGGUGAUCAUAUGUUCUUCGGAUAAAUAAAGUUGAUUAACUAUCUUGAACCUGUCUGCAUGUUUUGUUGUUGAGGUUGCUGGUGUCAAUCUCUCUUGUUAAUACCGGGUGUUAGUGAGGAUGCAAUUAACCUUAUUACAGUAAGUGAUGCUAAAAGCCUGAUGCCAUUCUCUCUCUCGUCUUUCGCGACUCCCUAAUUUGUCUAAAAUUUUUGCAUGCCUUAGUUUUCUCAAAAUGGAAGCUUAUUUUAUAAUAUGUUCUGAAUUUUUGUUUAAGGAUUUCCUUUUCCUGUUAAAUGUAGUCACUUUGUUCAUGGGAUCCAUGCAAGAGGCCAACAGCCUUGGAAGUCCUUCAACACCCUUUUUUCCAAGUUGUUGCAUUACCAAUAUUCUAGAUUUCCAUUAUUUAACAAAUUUUGUGGUAAUAAUUUUGUCAUUAUGGCAGAGAAGUUCAGAGAUUUAACUGUUUCUUUAAUGUUGGAGAGUUGCUAUUAUGUUCCACCAUCACUUCACUCUAAAGCUGCUGUUGCAAGCACACCUCCUGGUAAGUCCUUCAAAGUCUGAUAUUACUUCCCUUCAAUCUUAUGUGAACCUUUAUGAUAUCUAUUUAUUACAGCUAAUACUAGGGUAUCUUCGGAACAUAAAUAUGGUAGGAGAUAUCCUGGGGGUUCAUUGAACCCGAAGCCCGUGAACAAUUUUUCUUCUGCCAAGCCGCUUCCAACUUUGAAAUGCAGGUGUUGUGUUUACCAUAUGAUCUUUGUAGUUUUUGGUGGUUAGUAGUUGUCGAGUUGUGUAAUUGUUUAUAAAAGGUAUUUUUGUUAUCUAUUUUAUGGAGAGCUAAGACUCUGUAGCUCUUAUAUAAAAAUACGGGCGUGUUGUGUUUGUGAGAGAGCAGUAAUGGGGUGAGGAUGGAUUAAUUACCUAUUUCUUAUGUUCCCUAACGUGUAUUCAAAUUAUGAGGGUGUUUUACACCCAUUUUUUAUGGAAGAUCACAAGAAAUUCUUCCCGGAAGAAUAUAUACCAGGAAAGUAGCAGGAUAAGAAGCAGCGUGUCAAGAGGUUAAUUGUUUUGAGCAAGUAAAAGUUAGUCAUGUUUAUGUUCCAAGAGCAUGAGUUUCUCAUCAAUAAUCCUUCGUUGGAGCUUGUUUAAGUACGCGUUGUUAUCAGAUUUCUAUGCCUAUAGCUUGUGUUUAUAAAUCACUUGUAAACAUUCAAGUCACCUGUUUAAUAAAGCA